rnacentral:rRNA from 1 species
UACGUAGGGUGCAAGCGUUAAUCGGAAUUAGCUAGGGCGUGAACGUGCGCAGGCGGUUUGUAAGACGUGACGUGAAAUCCCGGGCUCAACCUGGGAAUGGCGUUGGUGACUGCAAGGCUAGAGUUUGGCAGAGGGGGGUAGAAUUCCACGUGUAGCAGUGAAAUGCGUAGAUAGUGAGUGGAGGAACACCGGAUGGCGAAGGCAGCCCCUGGGUCAAAACUGACGACCCAUGGCACGAAAGCGUGGGGAGCAAACAGG